rnacentral:lncRNA from 1 species
UGGGUGGUUAUUGAAUAAGAAAUCAAAUUUCAUAAUUUUUUGAUAUUAUUUUUUUACCCAUUAAGUGGAUAUAAAAACGAACGGGUGAAAAUAAAUAUCCGAUGAUAGAAGUCUCGCAAUCAAGAUCAUGAGUAUAGAUCUUGUUUUAAAUAGUUCAAAAUUUUUUUAAUAAAAAUUCAAUUGAUUUGAAUAUCUAUACACCGUUAAACGAAAAAAUGUUUCAUAUCGAUCAUUAAAAUUAUAGAUUUUAAAACCCUUUGAUCAUUAGGCUAAUAAUAUCGAAAAAAUUUAAAAUUUGAUUUCUACAUACUUCAAAUGGUAUAGAUCCACUAUUAUAUGUCAAUAUUUAUCUCUUUUAAAAAAAUCCUAAUCCUUCCUUCUAGGAUUUAAUUUUUUCAAAAAAUUUUAAUAUCUAACAAAUAUCAAACAAACUCUUAAAUAGAGACAAAACGAAUACAUAAUAGUAUAUCAAAAGCUUUCCAAU